GAUGAAGAACGUAACGAAAUGCGAUAAGUAAUGCGAAUUGCAGAAUUUCCGUGAGUCAUCGAAUCUUUGAACGCACAUUGCGCCCACUGGUAUUCCGGUGGGCAUGCCUGUUCGAGCGUCAUUAUCCUCCCUCAAACCCCGGGUUUGGUGUUGGACCCAAGUUGUGUGAACAACUGGUCUCAAAGACAAUGACGGCGUCCGUGGGACCCUCGGUGCAACGAGCUUUUAGGAGCACGCAUCGAGUUGCAAGGACCUUCCGGGCCGGUCUCCUUUACCAUUUUACAAGGUUGACCUCGGAUCAGGUAGGAAUACCCGCUGAACUUAAGCAUAUCAAUAAGCGGAGGA
rnacentral:misc_RNA from 1 species